GGGGGAAUGCAAUGUCGCAACGCGUGCAACCCCGAGCGAGCACUGCACACCCACAUGACGCCCUUCGCCGUGGGCGAGGUCAAGCCACAGCGGCCAACUUGGCGCAAGAAACAAGGGCCGCGUCACGGAGUGCAGCUCCUGCUCGAUCACCACCCCUUUGCUUUCCUGCACAUGAAGCCCUUGUGACCUAAGGGACCUCGGCCACGGACGGACACAUGCACGGCAGUCUAGGCACUGUGACUUCGUCUCUUUCUUUGACUCCCAUGGACGUCAGAACGCCAUCGUCCCCGUUCCAUUAGGUCUUAUUCCUCAUAUCAGUGCAUGUUUUCUUGUUUGGAGCACUUCCAUGGCACCAUCCAACCAAAGCUUUGAAUGAUCCCUGUGAGUCCAGGAGAAACAACAGAUUCUGUCGGAUUCCAACGUACGAUUUAGAUUUCACCGGACCCGUUUGAUUGUGUGAAUGUUGGAAGUUGAUGUCUAUUCUUCUUUUGUUCAGGCAAUAGACGAUUACAUGGUUGUAGGCAUCUGUGUUGUAGACUCGAGCAUCCAUACCCGCUCAACAUGUAUCCAUCAGCCUUUCCAUGUCCUUCCUAAUCUUUCAUUCCAGUUUUCAAGAUAAAAAAAGGAUGGUAGCUCCUGAAAUGUUCUUCCACUCGAAUCACUUUGGAAAAUGAAAACCAUGACACUUGUAGCUACAGAAUUAGCUGGAGAAACAUUCUCAAAUUCACUGUGCAAACUACUGGCAAGCAAGAUUGUCUGGUUAAUGAUGUCGGGAGCCUUAAUUUUGCAGGGAAGAUAGAUGUUUGCAGUGUGACAGCUGAGCUCCAAAGUAAGGCAAUAAAGCAGAGUCAAAAGAGGAGGCAUUAUUUAUGCAGUGAGUUUCAAAUUUUGACAAACACUUGAUGUGCACCAGCUAUCAGACUAUACCAAUCACUAAUCUGGUCUUCAGGUUGCUCAGGUCACUGUACUUACUGUCAUUUUACUUUCUCCCUGUUCCUCUAUCAAGAAUUAACUUGUGAACAUGCAUAUCUCUGAAAUCAUGACAUGUAAGAGGAAAUGAAACGUAGUUAGUAAGGGUAAGAAAGGUGACUUUUCUGCAAGUAUGCCAUGGUAUGUCACAUCAAUUCUUAUGUUCAAGCUUAGUGGUCAAAUUGUAUAGGAGCAGAAUUUACUAUCUCAGUGUUUUAUACCAUAAAAUUCUACAUUUGCUUUCUAGAUGGAAACCUACAGGUUAAGUCAGAUUAGGAACAAAACCCAGACAGACUUGUGAGGGAAC